GUCGGGAGGGCGACGGAAUAAAAAACCCUUCAGGGGAAUACGUCGCACCGUCUGCAGUAGCACGGCUUUCAACCUCCCGACUCCCCUCG
rnacentral:ncRNA from 1 species